GCUUGUCUCAAAGAUUAAGCCAUGCAUGUCUCAGUAUAAGCUUUUACACGGCGAAACUGCGAAUGGCUCAUUAAAACAGUUAUCGUUUCUUUGGUGGUUAUUGAUUACAUGGAUAACCGUGGUAAUUCUAGAGCUAAUACAUGCAAAAAAACCCAGACUUACGAAUGGGUGCACUUAUUAGAUAAAGCCAACGCUGGGUAAAACCAGUUUCCCUUGGUGAUUCAUAAUAAUUAAGCGGAUCGCAUGGCCUUGUGCUAGCGACAGUCCACUCGAUUUUCUGCCCUAUCAUGGUUGAGAUUGUAAGAUAGAGGCUUACAAUGCCUACAACGGGUAACGGGGAAUUAGGGUUCGAUUCCGGAGAGGGAGCCUGAGAAACGGCUACCACAUCCAAGGAAGGCAGCAGG
rnacentral:rRNA from 1 species